rnacentral:lncRNA from 1 species
UCUGGGAGAAAGUCAGGCUGGCAGACUGAAACGGCUGAGCUAGAAGCUAAACUGAUCUUUAAUCCAUCUUUGCUGUAAACUAUCCAGAAAGAGAUCACCAGGCAAUCUUUCUUAUCUCCACGGGCUGAGCUGGGGCAGAGGUGGCAAGAGACAGAUGAGGACAGGAGAAGCAGGGAGUGCCUUUUUCCACAGCAAGUGGUGGAUGAAGAUGUGUGUGAAACUUCAGCUUGAAACCAAGUGGAGUCAGAGUACAAAGAGGAAGAAACCUCCGUUUGACACUGCCUCACUAAUCUCAGCAGUGUAUCACUCAUUAUUCUGCACAGGAUUAAAGGCUUUGCUGGGGCAGAUUCUUCAACUCAGAGACGUAAUCUUCCCACACCUGUCCUCAGCAUAUAUUUUCCUCAGAGAAAAAAGCUCUACAGGCUCUUUGUUCUACAAAAAAGAUCUGGAGAUAUCACCUGGUGUUUAUCUGUGACUAUGAAAUCCAUAAUCCUUACAGGUAAUUAUGUUGUCUGCCUAGAAGUUCUCACUUUUGAGGUUUGGUUGUUGGAUGAGCUGCUGAUUCUAAUAAAUCUGUUGGGAUUGUGAGGAA